UACGGAGGGGCUAGCGUUGUUCGGAAUUAUCGUGGGCGUAAAGCGCACGUAGGCGGCUUUGUAAAGUUAGAGGUGAAAGCCCGGGGCUCAACUCCGGAAUUGCCUUUAAGACUGCAUCGCUAGAAUUGUGGAGAGGUAAGUGGAAUUCCGAAGUGUAGAGGUGAAAUUCGUAGAUAUUCGGAAGAACACCAGUGGCGAAGGCGACUUACUGGACACAUAUUGACGCUGAGG
rnacentral:rRNA from 1 species